GGAAGGAUCAUUAUCGAGCCGUCGGCGCAGGAUCGCGCCUCUUCCGGUGGGAAGAUGCGUUAGGUCCGGCUGACUUAUGGCCCCGUUCGUGAAGAAUGACCCUGUUGCUUCGGCGGCUUACGCUGGUCGAUUGUUCGACUAGGCAGUAAAGACGCCGCUGAAGAGCUACCUAAUACCUUAAUGAUUUCAGUUAGAUGUCUCAGUGAAAAUUAUAAAUAGUUAAAACUUUCAACAACGGAUCUCUUGGUUCUGGCAUCGAUGAAGAACGCAGCGAAUUGCGAUAAGUAAUGUGAAUUGCAGAAUCCCGUGAAUCAUCGAAUCUUUGAACGCAUAUUGCGCCUUCUGGUAUUCCGGAAGGCAUACCUAUUCGAGCGUCAUUGCAUCUCUCAAGCGCGGCUUGUGUGUUGGAUAGCUUUAUUUCGCUCGUCGCGGAAUAUAGCCUAAAGGCAGUGGUGACGUCGCGGUAUCAAGACGCCCGAGCGAACAGAUUUUGCUUUUGCAACCGCUCUUAGGGCUCAACCGGCCGUCGGCCUAAUUGUAUUUUCUUGAUUGACCUCGGAUUAGGUGAGAGUACCCGCUGAACUUAAGCAUAUCAAUAAGCGGAGGAAAAGAAACCAACUGGGAUUGCUUCAGUAACGGCGAGUGAAGCGGCAAAAGCUCAAAUUUGAAAUCUAACUCCUUAAGGGGUUCGAGUUGUAAUUUAGAGAGGAUGCUUUGGGACCGGCUGCGGCGUAAGUUCCUUGGAACAGGACGUCGAAGAGGGUGAGAAUCCCGUCUAGAGCCGACGGCGCGGGCCCGUAUAAAGCUCCUUCGACGAGUCGAGUUGUUUGGGAAUGCAGCUCUAAGUGGGUGGUAAAUUUCAUCUAAAGCUAAAUAUUGGCCAGAGACCGAUAGCGCACAAGUAGAGUGAUCGAAAGGUUAAAAGCACCUUGAAAAGGGAGUGAAACAGUACGUGAAAUUGUUGAAAGGGAAGCGCUUGUAGCUAGACACGGGCGCGGGGGUUUAGCGGGCGUUCAUCGCCCGUGCGUUUCCCCGUCGCUCGGGCCAGCAUCGAUCCCUGCGGCCAGGCAAAGUCCUUCGGAAUGUAUCGUCUUCAGAGACGCCUUAUAGCCGAAGGUGCAAUGCGGCCCGCGGGGAUCGAGGGACGCAUUUCGGUUCGGAUGCUGGCAUAAUAGCUAUAAGCGACCCGUCUUGAAACACGGACCAAGGAGUCUAACAUCCACGCGAGUGUUCGGGUGUCAAACCCGUGCGCGGAGUGAAAGCGAACGGAGGUGGGAGCCUUAGGGCGCACCAUCGACCGAUCCUGAUGUCUUCGGAUGGAUUUGAGUAGGAGCGUGGCUGUUGGGACCCGAAAGAUGGUGAACUAUGCUUGAAUAGGGUGAAGCCAGAGGAAACUCUGGUGGAGGCUCGCAGCGGUUCUGACGUGCAAAUCGAUCGUCAAAUUUGGGCAUAGGGGCGAAAGACUAAUCGAACCAUCUAGUAGCUGGUUCCUGU
rnacentral:misc_RNA from 1 species